rnacentral:rRNA from 1 species
UAGAGUUUGAUCAUGGCUCAGGAUGAACGCUGGCGGCGUGCUUAACACAUGCAAGUCGAACGGUGAACACGGAGCUUGCUCUGUGGGAUCAGUGGCGAACGGGUGAGUAACACGUGAGCAACCUGCCCCUGACUCUGGGAUAAGCGCUGGAAACGGCGUCUAAUACUGGAUAUGUGACGUGACCGCAUGGUCUGCGUUUGGAAAGAUUUUUCGGUUGGGGAUGGGCUCGCGGCCUAUCAGCUUGUUGGUGAGGUAAUGGCUCACCAAGGCGUCGACGGGUAGCCGGCCUGAGAGGGUGACCGGCCACACUGGGACUGAGACACGGCCCAGACUCCUACGGGAGGCAGCAGUGGGGAAUAUUGCACAAUGGGCGGAAGCCUGAUGCAGCAACGCCGCGUGAGGGAUGACGGCCUUCGGGUUGUAAACCUCUUUUAGCAGGGAAGAAGCGAAAGUGACGGUACCUGCAGAAAAAGCGCCGGCUAACUACGUGCCAGCAGCCGCGGUAAUACGUAGGGCGCAAGCGUUAUCCGGAAUUAUUGGGCGUAAAGAGCUCGUAGGCGGUUUGUCGCGUCUGCUGUGAAAUCCCGAGGCUCAACCUCGGGCCUGCAGUGGGUACGGGCAGACUAGAGUGCGGUAGGGGAGAUUGGAAUUCCUGGUGUAGCGGUGGAAUGCGCAGAUAUCAGGAGGAACACCGAUGGCGAAGGCAGAUCUCUGGCCGUAACUGACG